rnacentral:rRNA from 1 species
CUGUCGUCAGCUCGUGUCGUGAGAUGUUGGGUUAAGUCCCGCAACGAGGACGCAACCCUUGUCCUAUGUUGCCAGCGGUUUCGGCCGGGGACUUCGAUAGGAGACUGCCGGGGAUAACUCGGAGGAAGGUGAGGACGACGUCAAGUCAUCAUGCCCCUUAUGUCCAGGGCUGCACGCAUGCUACAAUGGUCGGUACAACGGGCUGCGAUCCCGCGAGGGUGAGCGAAUCCCUAAAAACCGGCCUCAGUUCGGAUUGGAGUCUGCAACUCGACUCCAUGAAGUCGGAGUCGCUAGUAAUCGCGGAUCAGCUAAGCCGCGGUGAAUGCGCUCUCGGGGAUU